ensembl:snoRNA SNORD31 Small nucleolar RNA SNORD31
CUUGUGAGUGAUGAAAUGUUUACCGCCCCAGUCUGACUUCAGGUGACUGAGUGGUAUCUUCUGAACUACA